AUGAAAUCACGCGAAUGUUCCAGAACUCUCUUGCCGAUCCCCCACUACAAUAUCAAUGUUGACACCGAACGCGAACGGUCGUCAACGAAACGAAGCGAUCCAUCUCACUGCACGUUUUGCGAAACGUGCCCGCAGAGUCCUCAUUGAUAUCCGUCAGCACUUCAAUCGCUUCAUUGAAACACAACAGGACGCGCUCACAAUCCUUGUCAGUGAGAUGAAGAUCGCCCAGCGAUUGCACAAAGUACAAAUUGCUGUACAAGUGUUUGCAUUUGGCGCGCAGGAUCACUUCAACUAAGAGCAGCACGAUAUCCUGAUUGUUUGCAAUUGGGAUGUUACCAGGAAUUUCCGAGCAAUCACCGCCGCUUUCGGCGAUGAGUUCGACCAUUGCAAACUUCAAAUCGGCGAAAAUAAAAUCGUAGCACGCCGACAUGCAUGCCAUUUUUUCGUGGACUGUUUUAUGUGCAUCUAAACUAGCCAAUUCCACAAUGGAUGCCGGCAAUUGAACAUGAUCAAAAUUAUGAGAAAACUUCACAUUUUGUAGAGAUAAACACUUUUGGAAGAUCAACUCAUCUUCGGUCUUGAAUGCUUCGUAAAAAAUCGGCGCCACAGCAUCAUGGAAUUGAUUUAAUAUAUAACUGAAAUAGUAUACACAUUUAAAAUAUAAUUUUCCGUAUAAUCUUAUAUUUAGGACUUUGUAAAUACCAACCAUUCUAUU